CGUCACUCUGAUGAUGCGGUUUCACCGCCUCCUCGGCCCUGGCUGGGCGGAAACCUCAUCUCGGCGCGGCCCGCCCGGGUCGAGCUCGGGGAUCGGGGGGGGCCACCGCGGCCACCCCUCACAGGAAAACAGCCAGCCGCCACUCUCACUUCUUCUCGCUCACUCCGGGGGCCGACUGCAGCCCGUCGCCUUCCUCGCCGUCGCCAUGGUCGGGCCGAGCGGCGCGUGGUUCCCAUCCAAAACUAAGCAGGAAGCCCCAUUGGAAAAACACAGUCAUCAGCUGUAAAUAUGGGGGGGUGUAGCAGUGGAGACGUUGCAGCCAUGUUUGUCUCUGCAUUCUAUCAGCUGGGAGGUGAAGUCACAAUGGAAAUUGCCCCCCCGCCCCAUGCCCCUUCCUCCUCCGAUCGCAGCACAGCCGUGGAAUAUGGUCGUCAACAUGGCUCUUCUCUUCCCCGACUGCGCGAGGAUAGAGACCCUCACUCACAUGUGCAGCGACAAAGCAACCGAAGUGGAGGAGGAAGAACAAGCGCUGCUGCUCUGUGGCCGCAGCUCACCGUGCCACAAAUGCACCACCACGAUUCACGUUCAUCGCGCACAGCUUGACUGCAUGGCGAGGCCUGCACAAACUGCGCGGUGGCCGCGAUCUUAAGAGGUUCACUGCGCGCGAGACGGGUUCAAUAUGAAUUUGGAGGCGUGCCGAAAUCAUGUUUGCAGGCAGAGACUCGUCAUCUUCUCAUGAAAUCCUUCAUCCAUUGCUUUUUACAUGAAUUCACAAUAUGAUGCUAACGCCAUGUUGCAGAAGCCACGUUGGCCAGUACAUUCUGCAACAUUUUGUUUUGUUUCAGCAGAAUUCAAUCUUCUUUGCCGGAGUAACUAAGCAGCAACGCGUCCACCAAGUUGGCAACCAAAGAUUUAAGCGUUUUGAUGCAGUUUAAUCAUUGGUAGGAGCCGAGGUUGAAAACAACAUUUUCUU
ensembl:lncRNA